rnacentral:rRNA from 1 species
GACGAACGCUGGCGGCGUGCCUAAUACAUGCAAGUCGAACGCUGAAGGAGGAGCUUGCUUCUCUGGAUGAGUUGCGAACGGGUGAGUAACGCGUAGGUAACCUGCCUGGUAGCGGGGGAUAACUAUUGGAAACGAUAGCUAAUACCGCAUAAGAGUAGAUGUUGCAUGACAUUUGCUUAAAAGGUGCAAUUGCAUCACUACCAGAUGGACCUGCGUUGUAUUAGCUAGUUGGUGGGGUAACGGCUCACCAAGGCGACGAUACAUAGCCGACCUGAGAGGGUGAUCGGCCACACUGGGACGGAGACACGGCCCAGACUCCUACGGGAGGCAGCAGUAGGGAAUCUUCGGCAAUGGACGGAAGUCUGACCGAGCAACGCCGCGGGAGUGAAGAAGGUUGUCGGAUCGUAAAGCUCUGUUGUAAGAGAAGAACGAGUGUGAGAGUGGAAAGUUCACACUGUGACGGUAGCUUACCAGAAAGGGACGGCUAACUACGUG